AACGCACAUUGCGCGCACGGGCAUUCCCGUGCGCAUGCGGGGCGGAGCGUUGCUCUUCGUGUUGGGGGCAGCUGCCCCUCAAAUUGAGUCUUCUGACGUCAUGUGCAGACUUGUCUACUCAACCUCCCCCCCGUAGGACUACCCGCUGAACUUAA
rnacentral:misc_RNA from 1 species